GGGGCCGUUUUUGGAUUCGACGGGGGUAGUUCGAGCAUGGGUAGCGAGUAGUGGGGACGCGUCCGCUUCAUCAACGCUAAAGCCAAUUAAACGGCAAACAAAACAACAACUUAGCUUUCGCAGCUUAAUAACCUGUGAGCUAGCUCCUACCUUCCAUCGCCCAUGUGGCGGGCUAGGGGCUCAACUUUAGUGGGAUACGCCGCUUGGUCUCCGCCUGGGGUCAACGGAAGAAGAUAAUCAGGCUGACCCGAAGGGAAUCCGGUGACAGGGAGUCUCUAGGGUGACAUCAAAUCUGUCACUACACUCGUAGAAGCUUAUGUGGCGUUAUCUUCGGACAGGGGUUCGACUCCCCUCGGCUCCAUAU
rfam:Paenibacillus sabinae T27, complete genome.